AAUAUUGUUAGACAAAUAAUUCUUUAUAUGAACACACUAUAAAUAUGUCAUGCUAACGAUAGAACGCUUUAGAAAUCUUGUGACACAUUUCCGAGUGAAAUCUGAAAGAAAAUUGUUUAAAAAAUAAAAUGGCUAAGCUUUUAUUACUUGUUUGUUUUGCUCUUUUGACAUUGACUUAUGUCAUGGCUUGCUUACAGCCAGGCGUACCCUGCUCUAACAGUGACCAGUGCUGUGGCUUGUUGGUAUGCAACCCUUGGGCUAAUCGUUGCACAAAGGGUGGAAACUGGCCAUUGGCUGACGCUAACAGUGGUGGCAAGCAGUGAUCACAAUGAGUUUACUGACAUUUUUACGUUAUUUCGUAGGCCUACGAUCAAAUAUACAUUUUUGGCCAAUUAAUCGUAUACGAUAACUUCUUUAAUUUGAUUUAUUGUUUACUUGAAAAAUAUAUAUGCAUUAUUAAAAACAAA